UGCCGCCACGACCGCGACGUUCCGUUUCCUUUGCCGGCGCGGCCUCGUUAUCGUCGGCCGACCGUCGCUAAAACGAUUGGUCGUGCGCGCUCGUCCAUGUACGCACGUAUACCCGGGGGGGUGUGCACCCCCGCAUGUACCUCCCGCGAGUCUCUCGUACAUAGAUAUGCCGCAUAUAGACGCGCGGUGUGCUCCCGCCAUAUUAAAUGAGAUUCGAGACCGCCGCCAGUUACUUUCACCUCGCGGAACGAAGAGUUAGUCCUGAGUGUUCCUCGUUUCCUCCUGUUCUAUCGCCUCGGCCAUUCAUGCGAAUGAGUUUAGUCGCGCGACGCUGGAUUAAGAGCUUUUUGCCCGCGACCGUAAUAAAUGCACGCUGUACGACGUAACUGUGUGCUCAGUUCGCACACUUUGCCGGGAGAUUAAUAUUGCUUGGGCGAUAUAAAAGCAUUCUCCUUUCUUUAACUUGCCAGUGGAUAGCUAUGUAUGUUUAGUAUCACAAGAUCAGGAACUUUCACUUGUAGUAUUUUGUAGUUAGCGAAAGAUAUGAGCUGGAUUUGAUUUUGAAGAUUUUGAUUUUGAAGAUCUCUUUUCAAUAGAAAUCUGUUUCACAACGCUGUGAUUUCUCUCUGAAUCGAGAAAUCGAUUCUACUUGAAGAUGGAAUAAUUUCUACUUUCAGAUACGGCGUUCGAUUUUCAGAACGAAAUUAAUUUUCAUGUUUAAUUAUCCAUGAUAGAAAUAGAUACAACUCUUUUAUCAAAUUUGACUUACAUUAGUAAUUAAUCAAAAGAUUUAAGUGAAAUAAUAAAAGUCGGAAUAAUUAUUUGUGUUCCAGAUUCAACUAGUCUUGCGAUCUCUGCAACAGUUUUGCAAUACUCAGUCCGGGCCAAGCAGGAUCGACUCGAAGAAGUGAAUAGUAGAAUGCGGCUGAUCCUGAAUCGCGGCUGAGUGAUAAGCAAACAGAUUUUCUAUGAUGGAUAUAUUCUCGUAAUAGUCAUUGCGAUUUAGUAGAUAGAAAUAGAUGCUUUUCUAUGUAGAUUUGUGCAUAUAUGCACGAAUUAUUGACAAUAAUGCAUAGUUUGUAAAUUCCGCUGAUUCACAAACGACAGCUAUUAUUUAAACUCUUGCAUUUGGAGAAGAAAGAAAUAUGUCUCAUAAAAAUUUCUUUUAUAAUUUCGAUCAUGAUUACGUUCAUACAUUUUUUAAGCGAUAUUUUUAUUUCAUCUAGACUUAUACUUCUGCUGUGUAGACGGAACUUUAAUAGAUUUACUAGGCGGAUAGAAGAGAAGCGUACAAGAAAAUGUUGUCUAUGAUAAACAUUUAAAACAGCCUGUUAGUAAAGCGCGCGUUUAAUUGCAAUACAAUAAUUUAUGAAAAUAAUGUAUAAUUAAUUGAACAUGUAAUGUUCUUCUGUAAUGCUCACAGAAUAUUAAUCUUUAUGUAAUGUUCACAGAAUAUUACAGAAGAAUAUUAUAUGUUCUAGCACUAGAUUGCGAGCGUUAGAAGUUGCAUCGCUAUCACUAUUAAUUCCCGUUCAGAAAUUAAUUGUAAUGCAAGCGAAUUAUGUCGCGGAUAAGUAGAGGCAUUAAUUAAUGUCUGAUGCGGUAUUGAUUUCUAUAAUGAUGCGUUUUAUUUACUCUCUUUUUCAAUAUACAUGUACAUAUUAUAUAUUGGAUUGUAUGAUAUAUUCCCGUUUUCUCUGCUUGGUAGCAUAAAUAAAUAAUUUUAUGAAAUUUAAAAAAUAGGACGAAUAUGUAUUACAACUCAAUAUAAAAUUGUGCUUGUAAUGUAACGUAAUGCAAGUUUUGUGAAUAUAAUAUGGAAAUUGCAAGAAGUGUUAUUUUUAAUUUGCUGAUAAGUUUAUAAAAUAUAGGAAUUUAUUAUUAAAUGCGUGCGAAAUGUAUUAUUAUUCUCAUACAGACUUGCGAAGCGAAUUCAUUAUUACUGCAUAUUGCGUAAAUCAUAAAAAUAUUAAAUUUCGAAAUAUCAAUAUAUCUAUACAUAAGUUUAAUUUUAUUAUUUGUUAUGUGUGUACGUCUUGUUACUUGUGUAAUCUGGUUUUUAUUUUACCGAUAUCAUGAUAUGAUAUUGUAUAAGAACGAAGUCAUUAAAAAUGCAUUUCAUAAUAUUUUUAUGUCUAAUUAUUUUAAUAUCUGUGCAGCAUCGCAUCAUACUUUAUUUUUCAUUAUUUGAACAUUUCUUUACGAAUGUUACUUUAUGUUUAUAUUAUAUAUUGUACUACUAAAUAAAAUAAAGUUUAAUAAAUACAC